rnacentral:rRNA from 1 species
AGUCAUAUGCUUGUCUGAAAGAUUAAGCCAUGCAUGUCUCAGUAUAAAUUUUUGUACGGUAAAACUGCGAAUGGCUCUGUAAAACAGUUACAAUUUUUUUGACAGUUGUUUAGAAUGUUGGAUACCUACGGCAAUUCUAGAGCUAAUACAUGCCCACAAACCCUACUUAUCGGACGGGUUGUGCGUAUUAGAAUCUCACUCAACCCGGACAACCCGGCUCCUACUUGAUUUAUGAUACAUUAGCAGAUCACCACCUUUGGUGAUGCGUCACUCGAGUUUCUGACCUAUCAGCUUCCGACGGUAGGGUAUUGGCCUACCGUGGCUUUAACGGGUAACGGAGAAUUAGGGUUCGAUUCCGGAGAGGGAGCCUGAGAAACGGCUACCACAUCUAAGGAAGGCAGCAGGCGCGUAAAUUACCCAAUCCUGACUCAGGGAGGUAGUGACAAGAAAUAUCAAUAUAAGACUUUUAUGUCUUGUAAUUGGGAUGAGCGAAACAUAAACCGCUUCUCGAGUAUCAAU